UACGUAGGGGGCAAGCGUUAUCCGGAUUUACUGGGUGUAAAGGGAGCGUAGGCGGUUCAGCAAGUCAGAAGUGAAAGCCCGGGGCUCAACCCCGGGACUGCAUUUGGAACUGUGCUGCUAGAGUGUCGGAGAGGCAGGCGGAAUUCCUAGUGUAGCGGUGAAAUGCGUAGAUAUCACGCAGAACUCCGAUUGCGAAGGCAGCAUACCGGCGCCCAACUGACGCUGAAGCACGAAAGCGUGGGUAUCGAACAGG
rnacentral:rRNA from 1 species